rnacentral:rRNA from 1 species
AUUGAACGCUGGCGGCAUGCCUUACACAUGCAAGUCGAACGGCAGCGGGGGAGAAGCUUGCUUUUCCUGCCGGCGAGUGGCGAACGGGUGAGUAAUACAUCGGAACGUGCCCUGUAGUGGGGGAUAACUAGUCGAAAGAUUAGCUAAUACCGCAUAAGACCUGAGGGUGAAAGUGGGGGACCGCAAGGCCUCAUGCUAUAGGAGCGGCCGAUGUCUGAUGAGCUAGUUGGUGGGGUAAAGGCCUACCAAGGCGACGAUCAGUAGCUGGUCUGAGAGGACGAUCAGCCACACUGGGACUGAGACACGGCCCAGACUCCUACGGGAGGCAGCAGUGGGGAAUUUUGGACAAUGGGCGAAAGCCUGAUCCAGCAAUGCCGCGUGUGUGAAGAAGGCCUUCGGGUUGUAAAGCACUUUUGUCCGGAAAGAAAUGGCUCUGGUUAAUACCUGGGGUCGAUGACGGUACCGGAAGAAUAAGGACCGGCUAACUACGUGCCAGCCGCCGCGGUAA